rnacentral:rRNA from 1 species
CUUUGCUGGCGACCGGCGCACGGGUGAGUAACACGUAUCCAACCUGCCCUUUACUCGGGGAUAGCCUUUCGAAAGAAAGAUUAAUACCCGAUAGCAUAAUGAUUCCGCAUGGUUUCAUUAUUAAAGGAUUCCGGUAAAGGAUGGGGAUGCGUUCCAUUAGGUUGUUGGUGAGGUAACGGCUCACCAAGCCUUCGAUGGAUAGGGGUUCUGAGAGGAAGGUCCCCCACAUUGGAACUGAGACACGGCCCAA